rnacentral:rRNA from 1 species
GGAUUAGAUACCCUGGUAGUCCACGCCGUAAACGAUGAGCACUAGUUGUUGCGGGUAUUGACCCCUGCAGUGACGACGCUAACGCAUUAAGUGCUCCGCCUGGGGACUACGGCCGCAAGGCUAAAACUCAAAGGAAUUGACGGGGGCCCGCACAAGCGGUGGAGUAUGUGGUUUAAUUCGACGCAACGCGCAGAACCUUACCCGGGCUUGACAUCGAGGGAAAGCCCUAUGAAAGUAGGGCCCCCCAUCUUCGGAUGGGUCCAAAGACAGGUGCUGCAUGGCUGUCGUCAGCUCGUGCCG